GGGUGAGUAACACGUGGGCAACCUGCCCAAAAGAGGGGGAUAACACUUGGAAACAGGUGCUAAUACCGCAUAACCAUAGUUACCGCAUGGUAGCUAUGUAAAAGGUGGCUAUGCUACCGCUUUUGGAUGGGCCCGCGGCGCAUUAGCUAGUUGGUGGGGUAAAGGCUUACCAAGGCAAUGAUGCGUAGCCGAACUGAGAGGUUGAUCGGCCACAUUGGGACUGAGACACGGCCCAAACUCCUACGGGAGGCAGCAGUAGGGAAUCUUCCACAAUGGGCGAAAGCCUGAUGGAGCAACGCCGCGUGGGUGAAGAAGGUCUUCGGAUCGUAAAACCCUGUUGUUAGAGAAGAAAGUGCGUGAGAGUAACUGUUCACGUUUCGACGGUAUCUAACCAGAAAGCCACGGCUAACUACGUGCCAGCAGCCGCGGUAAUACGUAGGUGGCAAGCGUUAUCCGGAUUUAUUGGGCGUAAAGGGAACGCAGGCGGUCUUUUAAGUCUGAUGUGAAAGCCUUCGGCUUAACCGGAGUAGUGCAUUGGAAACUGGGAGACUUGAGUGCAGAAGAGGAGAGUGGAACUCCAUGUGUAGCGGUGAAAUGCGUAGAUAUAUGGAAGAACACCAGUGGCGAAAGCGGCUCUCUGGUCUGUAACUGACGCUGAGGUUCGAAAGCGUGGGUAGCAAACAGGAUUAGAUACCCUGGUAGUCCACGCCGUAAACGAUGAACGCUAAGUGUUGGAG
rnacentral:rRNA from 1 species